CUCCACAGCAACGUACGGGGAAAGAGACGAGGUCCAGGAGCAGCGGCGAGCUCCACCGUCGGCACGCUCGAGCUCGCAUGUAUGCGGGCCGACGCCGGGCCACGAGGAGCAGCUCUACUCCUUGCCCCUGCACCACGCAGCCCGGGGACCCUCGACGGUGAGCUCUGUCGCCGCCGGGGCGCUCGAGCUCGCAGGCGUGCGGGCCGAGGCCACCGGGCCACAAGCCGCAGCUCCACCGCGCCUCCCCUGCACCUCGCUGCCGUGCAGCCCCGACCCUCGACGCACGCCAUCGAGCUCAACCAUGGCCGCCCGAUGCUCAAGCCGCCGCCACCGGAGCUCCGUUGCCCUGUCGCCCUAACCGAGACCGCCGCCGGAUCCAUGCCGUCUUGCCCGUCGCCGACCACACUGGAUCACCCCUGUUCCCCGCUGCCAGAGUAAGCAGCAGCUUUGCCGGCCGCGCACAGGGAGGGAGUGGCCGCCGGCGUCCACCACCGGACUUAAGGACCC
rnacentral:rRNA from 1 species